rnacentral:hammerhead_ribozyme from 1 species
AUCCAACUGACGAGUGCCAAAUAGGACGAAACGCGCGUCCUGGAU